rnacentral:misc_RNA from 1 species
ACCGACGAGGGCGAUUACAACAUUAAGCUACGAAACCUGAUCAGUUUCCUGGAGGAGGGCGACAAGGCUAAAAUUACAUUGCGCUUUCGCGGGCGUGAAAUGGCGCAUCAGGAAUUCGGCGUGCGCCUGUUGGAGCGAGUGAGAGGCGAUCUGGAGCCGCAUGCAGUGGUGGAACAGUUCCCCAGAAUGGAGGGACGACAAAUGGUGAUGGUGUUGUCUCCCCGGAAGAAAGAAGUAAAAGCGGUGAAGCCGAAGGAAGCCAAGCCGAAGGUCGUUACAGAAAUCGAUGGUAAUAGUGAUAGUGCAACACCGGCCAUCGGCACAGGUCCGGC